CAGUGUUUUGGCCAUAAAAUAUUCGUUAUAGCUCCGAUUUGACCCGUUCGAAUUGCGUUAGGUUUGUAAUUAAAUUCUCUACAUGUUAGUACUACUGUUUCUGUAGUUGCAACUUUUUAUUUUCAGGGUUAGGUUUAAUUAAUUAAUUGCCUAUAGGAAAUCGCCGAAAAGUCGUAAUUUGGUCAUUUUAGUUCCGUUUUUCGUGAAUUUCGCGUUGACGUGAUCGUAGCAGCACGUAGAUGAUUUUGGAAAACUUUUAUUUAAUUUAUUUACUGCUGGUGUACUGUUCUAACUUUAGGAAUUGUUCUCUUGCAUGUUUGUCUUGGUAUGCGUGAUGAUUGUGAUGUAUUGAUCGAGCCCAGACGGUGAGGAGUAUUUCGGGAGUCCGGAACUCUUUGGGGAUCAGCAGGACCAGCAAGACCAGCAGAAGUACGUGAAUCAAGGCAAGUAUAGCAUGGGCCUACCUUGUUGUCCUACUCAUUUUUAAGCAUUUCACCCUGCAUGUGUAUAAUAUUGCAAACUAUAAGGACAUCCUAGCUGUUGAUGACAAUUACCUUGUUCCCAAGGGUUUUUAUUGCAUAUGGGUAGAAGUGCUAGUGCUCUCACUCCAAUUAUAUAUAAUCUGAAAUCAGUGAUGGAACCAUGGUUAAUUGAUUAAACAUGAUUAUGAUAAAUGGAACAUAGGGCUAUGGUACAAAUGACUGUUGGUCAGGUUGUCCUAGACCCUCCGUAAGGACUUAUCUGUCGGCAAAAGCUGGGACUUACAGUGCAACCGGGAGAGUCAUAUGGCUCUGACUUUAGCUCAGUAAUAGGACCUUUUCUAACUCGUUAGAGGUUACCCGAAAGGGCGCAAGAGGCGCUUGCCACUUUGGGUGUAGGGCUGCCCCUGUUUCUAUGAGUAUAGCCGCGAUGGAAAUGUGCCAUAGGAAAGGGGGGUUUUCUACAUCUGCCUGCCGAGGAAACCUUGCGGCCCUAACUGGUUAGAAUAGGCCUAUGGAAGGCUUCAUAGUGUACCCUGCCCGCUCACCUUGGUAGUGUUUGGGGGUCGACGGACCCCGGGCAUAUGGGCAACACGACUCACGGUGAAAGUGCACAACCUCUGCAGAGUGUAUAACUGUUAUAACAGCCGUGCUCACGGUCACGAGCGGCCCAGAAAACUCACAGAAUAACUGGUUACUGAUGGCUAUAUGGUACUUGAUGAUGUAUAAUUAUGCUUUAAUGUGACUUAAUGACUUUCUAUGGUUCUAAUAACUGAUUAUAUGGGAUAUUUGGGAGCUUAAGCAUAAACUAUAAUAAUUAAUGAUAAAACACUGACCUACUAAAAGCUGAUGCAGUGAACCUAGUUUAGCCUGUUUGAGCCUCAUAAAUCCUCAUGCUAUGCUUGUGGAGUACGAGAUGUACUCACGCUUGUAUAUUUCUCUUCUUUGGAUAAAAAUCCCGGAUGGGUAACAGAUGGUGGUGGCUAUGAGGACUACCCUGAGGACUUUUAGGCUUGUGCUUCACCAGUCGACCUUCCCUGUGUGAGGGCCUUGAGAUAUUUAUCUUAGAUUAUCAUAUUUAUAUUUCCGCUGUUAUACCAGACUUUGUGAUGUAAUAACUAUGUUUGUUGUAAACACUGCGAUGAUGGUAUUUAAUUUGUGACUUAUGUGUGUGAUUGAUCUCUGGCCGCACAUAAGUUUAUGCAUUCAAUUUCUUCCUUGAAAUUGGGUGUGACAAAUUGGUAUCAAAGCCGUGUUGACUGUAGGACGCAAGCCUAGGUAGCAAUGGUCGAUAUAGAGUUUUUGUUUUAUUUAUUUAAUACUUUCUACCUUACUUUUUGUUAUUUUAUAAAAUUUAUCAUGCUUAUAUCACUUAUUCUAUUGCCAAAAUGUUGAUCUAAUCUUAAAAUAAAAUUUAUAGAUGCCGCCUGUCACGAGGUCUCGCCGUGCCAGCACCAGGAGCUACAUCUCUCAGUUCACGCCCAGUCGUCCCAGCCAGUGGUGGACAUCUCCGACAACGAGACCGUCCCCAUGGAGGAAGAGGACCCAGCGAUGGUGACAGAGGUGGAUGAUGAUGAUGAGAACUGGAUGGACUCCCCUGUAGCAGCUGCACCUGCUCUACCCACAGCACCUGCUCCACCUGCUGCACCUGCACCACCAGCUCCACCAGUUGCACCUGCUGCCCCUGCUGUACCAGAGGUGGUGCCUCCAGCUGGUCCUGAGGAAGAAAACCCAGGAUGGACUACCACCAUCCACUACAAGUAUCCUUCAAUGACAGCCUACUUCCACAACUUGCUUAGGGAGAUGCUGGAUACUUACUAUGCUGAUAAGGAGAUUGGCAUUAGGUACUGCUGUGCAGAGUACACACACCCCUAUGAGGCCACAUACUGGAGGUCGGAUCUUACCAUCACUGUGGGGAAUGAGGCACAUGACAGCUAUAUGGUGGAGAGCAUCCAUGGACACGUUGCUAGGCGAGCUGAGGCACAUGACAGCAUGGAGGACGCCGCCCAGAUGGCUUACACUCACUACCGUGGCCUUCGCUAUGAGGCCAUGAGAGCAGACCAAUACAAGUUUCUCCCUCGCCAUGAUUCUACUAUUGGUACUUGGUCUAUUGAGAACCUGCAGGAGGUGGACACGCCAUUGGAUGCAACUGUUAGGCAUAUGCAUGUCCUGCAGAUGGCCAAUGAUGACCUACAGGAGGAGCUACGUGAUCAGCAGGAUUCCAUAGAUCGCUUCCAGAAGAUGGUGGACAGCCUUAGAGAGCAGCUUGAGUUGCCACCGCUCUACAAGAAGAAGACCGCACCUCCUAGCAUCUCCGGCGACGCACCAUAGGCCUAGGAUGCCAUAGUUGUUUUAUUUCGUAGUCCCGUUGUGUCAGUUGAGUUUGAAGUGCUUGUGAACAAUUGAUGUGUCCGUUGAAUUUGUUUGUGUAUUUGCAUGAUUCGAAUCUUUGUAAUGACUGCUGGAAGGUUGUGGAUUUAUCUACAAACUUCUGUUACCUUAAGUUUAAUUAUCGAAUGCUUAGUUGGGUUGGUAUAUUCUGCUGUUGCUGUGCUGUUUUUCUGGAGCAGCCUGUGAUGUUUAACUUUUAUCUCUGAAGUGGUACGUCCAAAAACUUUGAAAAUUUUGUGGAGGAAACUAGACUGCUGUAUCUCUCAUUUGCAACUAGAACCACAUUAAAACCUGCUCGGAUCUGGGAGAUAUCCUUGUUACAAUCUGGGAAUAUUGCGCAGACUAGAGCACAGAACAGAUUCGCUUUACCCCUGUUUUUGAUCAAGAUAAUUUCAGAAUCUGUAAGAGUGGUCUGAACAAAAGUUGUAUCAAAUUUUAUAAGCUUUCCAAACAUGUAUGGCACGCCUCUGUUGGAUCUCAGAAACUCGAGUUAUGAGUUAAAUACUGCACUGCUGAUUUUGCAUCCUGUCCAGAAAAAUUUCAGCAGUCUUUUUGAUAUUAUAAUCAGUUAUUAAUUAUGGAAAGACCUCUAAAAGCUUAUUCCUUUGUUGGAAACAGAUGGCUGAUGAAGGAGGAAGAGGCCAUGGUCGAGGUCGAGGCCGUGGCCAUGGACGUGGCCGUGGCGCACCGGUGGACCCACCGCCACCACCACAGCCUGUGACAAUGGAGCAGCUCAUGUUGAUGCAAACUCAAUUGAUGCAAACUAUGAUGGAUCGCCUGGAUCACCAGCCCGCCAUCGUACCACCACCGGUCCAGGUUCGAGAUAAGAGGGGAGAGUUCAUGAAGGGACGUCCCCCUAUUUUUACACAUGCUAGUGACCCUUUAGAACCUGAUGAUUGGUUAAGAGCUGUGGAGAAGCAGCUGAACAUUGCUCAGUGCAAUGACAUGGAAAAGGUGUUGUAUGCCUCCGGACAACUGCAAGGGGCUGCACAAGAGUGGUGGGAGUCCUGCCAAUAUGGACGCCCAGACAACGCACCGCCUGUCACUUGGAGGGAAUUCACAGAGAGUUUCCGGUCUUACCACAUUCCAAAGGGGCAAGGUUAGCCGAGCUAUACAUGGAAAGGAUUGUGUGCUUACACGGAGUUCCAAAGAAGAUCGUGUCCGACCGAGGAACUCAGUUUACAUCGCACUUCUGGCACAAAGUACAUAGAUCCUUGGGAACUAAGCUGAACUUCAGUUCUGCUUAUCAUCCCUGGACUGAUGGACAGACAGAGAGAAUUAAUCAAAUCUUGGAGGACAUGCUGAGAGCUUGUGCUCUGCAGUAUGGCACUAGUUGGGACAAAAGUCUGCCGUAUGCUGAGUUUUCCUAUAACAACAGCUACCAGAAGAGUCUCAAGACGGCACCAUUUGAAGCUUUGUGUGGUCGCAAGUGUAGGACACCUUUAUUCUGGAAUCAAACUGGUGAAACACAGGUGUUUGGGCCAGACGUCCUAAGAAGUGCUGAAGAACAAGUGAGGAUGAUUAGGGACAAUCUAAGAGUGGCACAAUCGAGGCAGAAAAGUUAUGCCGACACCCGAAGAAGGGACUUGAGCUUCAAAGAGGGUGAUUUUGUAUAUCUGAAGGUAUCUCCAAUGAGGUGUGUGAAGAGAUUCAAUGUGAAGGGUAAGUUAGCACCGAGAUACGUCGGACCUUUCAGGAUUCUUGCAAGACGUGGAGAAGUAGCCUAUCAGUUAGAACUUCCUGAGAGUUUGUCAGGUGUACAUGAUGUAUUCCAUGUUUCUCAGUUGAAGUGUUUGCGGGUACCCGAAGAGCAGAUUCCUAUAGAAGAAUUGACCGUUAAAGAAGAUCUCACAUAUGAAGAGUACCCGAUAAAGAUUUUGGAAACUGCAGACAGAGUUACAAGAAGCAGAAUUAUAAAGAUGUGUAAAGUGCAAUGGAAUCGUUAUACCGAAGAUGAAGCCACUUGGGAAAGAGAAGAGGACUUGAGAAAGUCGUACCCACAUCUGUUUGAGUAAGCAUCACCCAAUCUCGAGGACGAGAUUAUUUUUUUAAGGGGGGUAGAAUUGUAACACCCAAAAUUUGGCUCUUUUAAAAAUAGAUGAAUUUGGCUUUAUUAAAUAAUUUUGUGAGCAUUUUCAAUAUAGGAAAAUAAAUAAAUUUGGAGAAAAUAAAAUUAAAUAUAAGUUAGGCCAAUACUUUGUUGCAUACAUGCUGGUGCAUUUAUUUAUGUGAUGAGUGGAUUUGAAGAAAAGAUGUUUGAAUUCAAAAACUCAUUUGGAAAAGAGUUUGAAAAAUUGUUUGAAAAAUAAAAAGGAAUUUCUUUCCCCUUUCUCUCCAUUCGGGCUUUCGGCCCAAACCCCCCCCCUGCGCGCGCGUCCCACUCUCUGGGCCGAGGCCCGCCAGCCAGCCGAUCCCCUCCCUUCCCCCUUUUUUCCCCCUGGUGGCUGACGGGUGGGGCCCACCCGUCAGGACCUCCCCCUACCUCCUACCGCCCACCCCCGAUUAUCUCUCUCGCUCGAAACCGCCAGGCCGCGCCCACCCCGCUCCCCCCACGUUCCAUCCCCCGCGCCUCGGCUUUAGUUGGAGAAUACCCCCCCCCCGUGCGCCCGAGCCUUCCUUCCCCCCCCCUUCCCAUUUUCUUUCUCCCUGUCUUCGCUCUGCUCGGCCUUGCGCAGAGAAACCGCUGCCGGAGUUUGCCGUCCGCCGCGCGAACCGUCGUCUCGAGCCGUCUCAGCUCCCGUUCUUCGUCGUGGUGAGCGCGUACCACCUCCCUCUUCUUCCCCGUCCCGUUUUCUUUGAUUUUUAGCGCCUCUAGCGGUCGUCCUAGGAGCACCGUUGGGGCCGGCCAUGGCGCCACCGUCGGCCCCCUUGCAAGCCGCCCCUCUGGCCGCGUGAUGCCCCGGGUUGGGUUCGCGUUGCCCUCCUCUCUCUCUGUGUGCGUUCGGAUUUGAAAACCGUGGCCCGAAGCCUCCAAACCGCCAACUCCGGCGAGCUCGGGCCGGCCGGCCAUGGAGCGCUGCCGCCUCCUGCUGCAGCGCCGGCCAGGAGCGCCGCCCAUCCUCUCCCCCUUCCUUUCCCCUUCUAAUCUCGGGCGUUCAUCAAGAGAUCAACGGCCCUGGAUGCACCGUACCCCUUCGGGGGGAAAUUUUGCUUAAAAAGCCCCUCCCAGAUUUCCAAAUUCGGCCGCGGUCCUUAGCGUCUUCGGAUGAAUACGUUUUGUCUUUUAGAAAGCGUAAAUCCCGUCGGUUAGGUCAAAUUACGUUUUCAGAAAAUUACAGAAUUGCCACUGCAGUGUUUUGGCCAUAAAAUAUUCGUUAUAGCUCCGAUUUGACCCGUUCGAAUUGCGUUAGGUUUGUAAUUAAAUUCUCUACAUGUUAGUACUACUGUUUCUGUAGUUGCAACUUUUUAUUUUCAGGGUUAGGUUUAAUUAAUUAAUUGCCUAUAGGAAAUCGCCGAAAAGUCGUAAUUUGGUCAUUUUAGUUCCGUUUUUCGUGAAUUUCGCGUUGACGUGAUCGUAGCAGCACGUAGAUGAUUUUGGAAAACUUUUAUUUAAUUUAUUUACUGCUGGUGUACUGUUCUAACUUUAGGAAUUGUUCUCUUGCAUGUUUGUCUUGGUAUGCGUGAUGAUUGUGAUGUCUUGAUCGAGCCCAGACGGUGAGGAGUAUUUCGGGAGUCCGGAGCUCUUUGGGGAUCAGCAGGACCAGCAAGACCAGCAGGAGUACGUGAAUCAAGGCAAGUAUAGCAUGGGCCUACCUUGUUGUCCUACUCAUUUUUAAGCAUUUCACCCUG
rnacentral:lncRNA from 1 species